CAGUAGCCGGGUAAUACCGAGGGUGCGAGCGUUAAUCGGAUUUACUGGGCGUAAAGCGUGCGUAGGCGGCUUCUUAAGUCGGAUGUGAAAUCCCUGAGCUUAACUUAGGAAUUGCAUUCGAUACUGGGAAGCUAGAGUAUGGGAGAGGAUGGUAGAAUUCCAGGUGUAGCGGUGAAAUGCGUAGAGAUCUGGAGGAAUACCGAUGGCGAAGGCAGCCAUCUGGCCUAAUACUGACGCUGAGGUACGAAAGCAUGGGGAGCAAACAGGAUUAGAUACCCGCGUAGUCCCUGUCUCUUAUACA
rnacentral:rRNA from 1 species